AAAGCUAAAACGCCGUUAAGUAUACUCCGCAAAGCCUCCCUUCUCUCUGCCUCUCUCUCUCUCUCUCUCUCUCUCUGACGCAAUUUCAUUUCAAAUGGCGACGGCACCGAUGAUGCAUCCGAUGCUCUUUUCAUCUGGUUUUCUUCUUCUUCUCUCUCUCAUUCAUCGAAGCUAAUCUUGGUAAACAAUCUUCCUUUAUUCCAAGCUAAUCUAUCCAUCUUUCAAUUAAAAAAGAAAAGGAAAAAAAAAAAAAGAAGAUGUUGGCGAAAACCGAAUCAGUGAAUAAGAAGAAAAACAGGCUUAUGAUAUCUCCUUCUUCCGAUCCUGGAAACGGUCGAUUACUGCACGAGAUCGAGGCUCUCAGCAAAGCCCUCUACCUCAACAAAAACCCCUCUCCGAAAAAAACUCUCCUUGACAAACAGCGCUCCAUUUCUGCCGGCAAAUCCCAUUUCCUUGGUCCUCCCAAGUCAUCCUCUUCCAAUAAAGCUUCUAGAAUCUUCAGAGACAAUCCCCCUUCUCACAAGGACAAGGACAAAGACAAAGACAAAGACAAAGACAAGAAAUCCUUCUGGAAUUGGAAACCCUUGAAAGCCCUGUCUCACAUCCGCCACCGCCGCUUCGACUGCCUCUUCUCCCUCCAGGUCCACUCCAUCGAUUCCCUCCCACCAGAUUUCAACAACCUCGACCUCAUCGUGCAUUGGAGGAGCCGCAGCGGUGGGCUGGAGACCCAUCCCGCUAGGGUUUUCCAUGGCAUCGCUGAUUUUGAAGAGAUCCUGACGCAAAAGUGCACGGUCUAUGGGAGUGGGAAUGGGUCCCACCAUUCUGCCAAGUAUGAUGCGAAGCAUUUUUUGGUCUACGCUUCCUUGGUUGGUGCCCCUGAUCUUGAUCUGGGGAAGCACCGGAUAGAUCUCACGCGGUUGCUUCCUCUCACUCUGGAGGAAUUGGAGGAAGAGAAGAGCUCUGGGAAAUGGUCAACUAGCUACAAGCUCUCUGGGAAGGCCAAAGGGGCGGUCUUGAAUGUGAGUUUUGGCUUCUUGGUUCUAGGGGAUGAUUCUGUUGAAUCCGGCACGACUAGGAAUGUGGUUCCCAAGAAUUCAAAUUCGAAGCAGGGUCAGAUUGAUUCAACAAAGUCUGCAGUUGGUCCCAACAGGGGCUCGCUUCGGCGUGUCGGGAGCCUUCAGGGUGGGACGCAUGUGUCUCAUGAUCGGUCUCAUGCCCCAUCUCGGUCCGUGGAAGAUGUCAGGAUCCUUCAUGAAGUUUUGCCUAGCUCAAGGUCGGAGGCAUCGAGCUUGGCUGGUUUCGAACGGGCGCUGACAUAUCGGAGUUUCGAUGAGGGGGAGUUUUUUGGUCUGGUUUCAUCUAAGCCCGAGUUUGAGGCAUUCUCAGGACACAAACUGAAGCCAUCAAAUGAUUUAGUGGAGUCUGCCAAAGAGAGUUGCGAAAGCAUGUGUGAUGAUUCUGAGUUCACUGUUAUUGAGCAGGGUAUAGAGAUUGCUUCAAAGGAUCAGGUGAAGCUGGAAGAGGAUACGAAGGCUGCUGAUGAUGUUUUUGCAGUAGAAAAUGUCAAGAUCAAUGAACUUAGUAUGGGCAGUAGUGAAGCUGUGGUAGUAGAGGGUAUGAUGCCUGAUCUGCGGGACAUGGCCCAUAAAAGUUACAAAGGAGAAUCCCUGAUUGAUGGUCAUGAUUCCAGUGAGGACAACUUGUUAACCAGAGAAUUGGUCAUGGAGGAACUGGACUCCGCUUUCCGUAGUCUUUCGAUUCUUGAGGUUGAUGGAUUGGAUUCUCCCCAAUCUCCAAACAAGGGUCCCGUGCAAGAGAAUGACACAGAGGUGAAAUCAAAUUAUAAGAAGGUUAAGGCAGGUAGCUUGGAUGACGUUACAGAGACAGUUGCCAGUGAGUUCUUGAGCAUGCUUGGUAUAGAGCAUAGCCCUUUUGGCUUGAGUUCUGAUAGCGAUCCGGAAUCCCCAAGAGGGCGCCUGUGGAGACAGUUUGAGAAAGAGUCUCUCGCUGGAGGUAGUGGCAUCUUCGGUCUUGAUACUUGCAUGGGAAUGGAGGCAGUACCCGUUGAUGAUUCCACAGUUCAGUUCGAUUUGGGUGACUUGUCUGAGGAUUUUGAGCUGUCCUCGAUCAUUCAUGCUGCUGAGACAGAGCAUCAGAAAGCCGCCCAGGCAAUGAAAAGUAAAACGAGAGCCAAAAUGCUGGAAGAUGCGGAGGCAGAAGCUUUAAUGCAAGAGUGGGGCUUGAAUGAGAAGGCAUUUCAGAGAUCUCCGCCUGACAGUGCCAGUGGAUUUGGUAGCCCAAUUGAUCUCCCCCUUGAAGAGGUGUUUGAUUUGCCUCCUCUUUGUGAGGGGCUUGGCCCAUUUAUUCAGACAAAGGAUGGGGGAUUUCUGCGGUCAAUGAAUCCGUCCCUCUUUAGGAAUUCUAGGAGCAAUGGAAGCUUGAUCAUGCAGGUCUCUAGUCCUGUUGUGGUCCCCGCAGAAAUGGGUUCAGGGGUAAUGGAAAUAUUACAGCAUCUGGCCUCUGUUGGAAUUGAAAAGCUUUCGAUGCAGGCAAGUAAGCUGAUGCCUUUGGAAGAUAUCACUGGGAAGACGAUGCAACAGGUAGCAGGGGAAGCUGCACCCGCUCUAGAGGCACAAGAGAGACAGGAUUCAUCGAAGCAUCUAAAACCAGCAGGGCUGUCAGAGGUUGGACAAGAUGCAGUUGGUGGAAGAAAGAAAGGCAAAGGAUCAUUAGGGCAUGGGUUGGAUUUGAGUUCAUCACAAACAGGUUCUGAAUAUGUUUCACUGGAAGAUCUUGCUCCAUUGGCAAUGGAUAAAAUUGAGGCUCUCUCAAUAGAGGGUUUGAGAAUACAGUCUGGCAUGUCGGAUGGGGAGGCGCCUACAAAUAUCAGCCCUCAAUCCAUUGGGGAGAUUUCAGCUCUGGCUGGAACGAGGGCCAAGAGCAGCAGGUCUCUUGGUUUGGAAGGUGCAGCUGGAUUGCAGCUUUUGGACAUUAAAGACAGCAGUGAUGAUGUUGAUGGAUUGAUGGGCCUUUCAAUUACAUUGGAUGAGUGGAUGAGACUGGAUGCGGGAAUAGUUGAUGAAGAAGAACAAAACAACAGCCGGACAUCAAAGAUUCUUGCGGCCCACCGUGCUAGUUGCACAGACUUGGUUAAUGGAGGUUGGCAAGGAGAUAAGAGAGGGGGUAAAAAUUCUGGUAGGAGGUGCGGUUUAUUGGGAAACAACUUUACAGUAGCACUAAUGGUGCAGCUUCGGGAUCCCUUACGUAACUACGAGCCGGUUGGCACCCCCAUGCUCUCCCUCAUUCAAGUGGAGCGGGUCUUUAUCCCUCCAAAGCCCAAAAUAUAUGUCAGUGUCUCAGAUAAGGGAAACAGUGAAGAACCUGAUGAGCCUGAACUGGUAAUAAAAGAGGAGAAGAAAGAAGAAGAAGAAGUCGAAGCCGAAGUCAUACCUCAGUUUAAAAUCACUGAAGUCCAUGUUGCCGGUCUGACGACUGAACCUAGCAAGAAAAAGUUAUGGGGUACCACGACGCAGCAACAAUCUGGUUCGCGGUGGUUGCUUGCCAGUGGGAUGGGGAAGAGCAACAAGCACCCGUUUAUGAAGUCGAAGACAGUUUCAAAGCCUGCCCAAGCAACCACGACAGUGCAGCCUGGGGAAACCCUGUGGAGCAUUUCAUCUCGUGUUCAUGGCACUGGAGCCAAAUGGAAGGAAUUAGCAGCUUUGAAUCCUCAUAUACGGAAUCCUAAUGUUAUUUUCCCGAAUGAAAAGAUCCGGUUGCGUUGAGCAUUCUACAGGCUUUCAAUAGGAACACAGCACAACCCUUUAUGGGGUUGGACAUCAUCACUGCCUUGCUGUCUGCGGAGCUAGGUAGAGUUAAAGUCAGUGAAAAAGAAUCUAGCCACAUGGUGGGAUCAGGAACUGGUUGUAGAUAUAUCUGGUUUAGGAGCUGAUGCAUUGCUGGGCAAUAUCCACACAUUUAAACUUGGAAUGAAUGUAUUAUUCCACUGUAGGGGCUCCUGUGUUUGGAGACCCUGCUUCAGAUCUUUCAUGGACGAGGAUUCAUUCCACCCUGAAUGGAUUAUACGGUCUGCUCCAGAUAUACAAGCAUUUACCGUACCUCCAGGUAAUGCCUUCUGUUGCAUCAGCUGUAUCAUGGAUGAGGAUCCUUCUAAUUGUACUGAUGCUUUAUGUCUGUUUCAGAAGACAUAGAUAGGUUUGGUUUAGGAGCUGAUGCAUUGCUGGGCAACCUUUCAUCUGUCGUUUUGCUCCACAUUUAGUCUUGGAAUGAAUGGAUUAUUUUGCUGCACCAGGGCUCCUGGGGUGAGUGUGAAGCUAAAAAUCUUGACUGUUGUAUAGUUUGCUUUCUUUGGCUGCAAAUAAUGCACACUUGCUUUCCUUAGUUGCUUCACAUUUCGAUCUUUGUUUGUAUUAAGGUUCUAUUAGGAUGCAUUCAGUUUCUGUGCCUGUCAUGGGAAUGCAUGUAAUUUUAGUUGCAAUGUGGUGUUGUCUCUGUCGAGGGGCAAUGCUUUUCACACUGCUGGAGAUGGGUUUUUGCCCAUGUUGUUGCUGGAAUUUGCAUUAUCAUCAUUUGAUUAUUACAUCAGUGCUGUGGAUGGUUGAUACGGUUUGGAGCCCCUGCAUCAGAUCUUUCAUGGAUGAGGAUUCAUUCCACCCCAGAUGGAUCAUAUGGUAUCUUCCAGAUAUACAAGUGGUUACUGUACCUCCAGGGUUGUUUCUGUCAAGGAGCAAUGCUUUUCACACCGCUGGAGAUGGGUUUUUGUUGGAAUUUGUGUCAUCAUCAUACUCAUGUGAUUAUUACAUUGGUGAUGUGGACCUGUGGUGGUUUACAUGGUUUCGAGCACCUGCAUCAGAUCCUUCAUGCACGAGGAUUCAUUCCACCCUGAAUGGUUCAACAGUCUCCUCCAGACAUACAAGUAUUCACCCAACCUUCAGGUAUGCCUUCUGUUGCAUCAGAUCUUGCAUGGAUGAGGAUCAUUCCUGGAGCUGUGUAAUUUGUUUCAGAGGAGGGAGUUUAUUCCUGAUUAAAUGAAUUGAAGAUAUUGAUGC